CAGGUGGGUUGUUAAGUCAGAUGUGAACGCCCCGAGCUUAACUUGGGAACUGCGUUUGAAACUGGCAAGCUAGAGUCCGUCUGAGGGGGGUAGAAUUCCACGUGUAGCAGUGAAAUGCGUAGAGAUGUGGAGGAAUACCAAUGGUGAAGGCAGCCCCCUGGGAUAAGACCGACGCUCAUGCACGAAAGCGUGGGGAGCAAACAGGAUUAUAUACCCUGGUAGUCCUCGCCCUAUACGAUGUCAACUGGUUGUUGGGUAACUUGAUUGUUCAGUAACGAAAGUAAACGCGAGAAGUUGAACGACUGGGGAGUACGGUCGCAAGAUUAAAACUCAAAGGAAUUGACGGGGACCCGCACAAGCGGUGGAUGAUGUGGAUUAAUUCGAUGCAACGCGAAAAAACCUUACCUACCCUUGACAUGUACGGAAGUCUGCUGAGAGGUGGAUGUACCUGAAAGGGAAACGUAACACAGGUGCUGCAUGGCUGUCGUCAGCUCGUGUCGUGAGAUGUUGGGUUAAGUCCCGCAACGAGCGCAACCCUUGCUAUUAAUUGCCAUCAUUAAGUUGGGCACUUUAAUAGGACUGCUGGUGAUAAACCGGAGGAAGGUGGGGAUGACGUCAAGUCCUCAUGGCCCUUAUGGGUAGGGCUUCACACGUCAUACAAUGGCCGGUACAGAGGGAUGCCAACCCGCGAGGGGGAGCCAAUCUCAGAAAGCCGGUCGUAGUCCGGAUUGUUCUCUGCAACUCGAGAGCAUGAAGUCGGAAU
rnacentral:rRNA from 1 species